rnacentral:rRNA from 1 species
AUGGGUGAGAGCGUGCCUUUUGUAGAAUGAACCGGCGAGUUAAGUUAUGAUGCGAGGUUAAGAUGAAGAGUCGGAGCCGUAGCGAAAGCGAGUCUUAAUAGGGCGCUUUAGUAUCAUGAUUUAGACCCGAAACCAUGUGACCUAUCCAUGAGCAGGGUGAAGGUGCGGUAAGACGCACUGGAGGCCCGAACCAGGACACGUUGAAAAGUGUUUGGAUGACUUGUGGAUAGCGGAGAAAUUCCAAACGAACUUGGAGAUAGCUGGUUCUCUCCGAAAUAGCUUUAGGGCUAGCGUCCAACUUGAAUGUAAUGGAGGUAGAGCACUGUUUGGGUGAGGGGUCCAUCCCGGAUUACCAAUCUCAGAUAAACUCCGAAUGCCAUUUACAUGCGUUGGGCAGUCAGACUGUGAGUGCUAAGAUCCAUAGUCGAAAGGGAAACAGCCCAGACCANNUAUGUUAAGUGGAAAAGGAUGUGGGGUUGCACAGACAACUAGGAUGUUAGCUCAGAAGCAGCUAUCAUUCAAAGAGUGCGUAAUAGCUCACUAGUCGAGUGAUCCUGCGCCGAAAAUGUACCGGGGCUAAAACAUAUUACCGAAGCUAUGGAAUUAAAUUUAUUUAAUUGGUAGGAGAGCGUUCUUAUCAGCGACGAAGGUAUACCGUGAGGAGUGCUGGAGCGAUAAGAAGUGAGAAUGCCGGUAUGAGUAGCGCAAGACAGGUGAGAAUCCUGUCCACCGUAAGACUAAGGUUUCCAGGGGAAGGCUCGUCCGCCCUGGGUUAGUCGGGACCUAAGGAGAGGCCGAAUGGCGUAUCCGAUGGACAACAGGUUGAUAUUCCUGUACUAGGUUAUAUAGUGAUUGGAGGGACGCAGUAGGCUAAGAUGUGCCAGUUAAUGGAUUCUGGUCUAAGCAGUGAGGUUUGGUAUGAGUCAAAUGCUUGUACCUUUAAGAUUGAGCUGUGAUGGGGAAGCACUUUCGAGUGCGAAGUAUCUGAUGUCACACUGCCAAGAAAAUCUUCUAGCGUUUAAUUAUAACCUACCCGUACCGCAAACCGACACAGGUAGUCGAGGCGAGUAGCCUCAGGUGAGCGAGAGAACUCUCGUUAAGGAACUCGGCAAAAUGACCCCGUAACUUCGGGAGAAGGGGUGCUCUACUGAUGUAGAGCCGCAGUGAAUAGGCCCAAGCGACUGUUUAUCAAAAACACAGCUCUCUGCUAAAUCGUAAGAUGAUGUAUAGGGGGUGACGCCUGCCCGGUGCUGGAAGGUUAAGAGGAGUGCUUAGCGUAAGCGAAGGUAUGAAUUGAAGCCCCAGUAAACGGCGGCCGUAACUAUAACGGUCCUAAGGUAGCGAAAUUCCUUGUCGGGUAAGUUCCGACCCGCACGAAAGGCGUAAUGAUUUGGGCACUGUCUCAACGAGAGACUCGGUGAAAUUUUAGUACCUGUGAAGAUGCAGGUUACCCGCGACAGGACGGAAAGACCCCAUGGAGCUUUACUGCAAGUUGAUAUUGAGUAUCUGUUGCACAUGUACAGGAUAGGUAGGAGCCGAUGAACUGAGGACGCUAGUUUUCAGCGAGGCGCUGUUGGGAUACUACCCUUGUGUAAUGGCUACUCUAACCCGCAUGCCUGAUCGGCAUGGGAGACAGUGUCUGCUGGGCAGUUUGACUGGGGCGGUCGCCUCCUAAAGAGUAACGGAGGCGCUCAAAGUUUCCCUCAGCAUGGUUGGAAAUCAUGCGUAGAGUGUAAAGGUAUAAGGGAGAUUGACUGCGAGACUUACAAGUCGAGCAGGUACGAAAGUAGGACUUAGUGAUCCGGUGGUACCGCAUGG